GUAUUCACAAUUAUAAUUAGUAUGGCUAAAUUUCUUACUUCUAAGCAUGUCUAGUAGUAAUGAAGUGGCAAGGGAAAGGAAGAAAAAAUAUUGCACAACUAAAUGACUUGGAGAAUGAUGUUUACCUACUUGGUCCAAAUUGUAGAGACUCUCUAGGCUGCAGAAGCUCGUGCUCUAUAGACUCGAAUUCUUUAAGAUUUCUUACUACAUUUUGAACUUUCUUGGAUAGCCGCUCACUAUGUUCUUCAACAAUUUUCAUAAAUGCAGUUAGCUGUUCUUGAUACGUGGCACAUAGGCGCUUCUUAUUCCGCAGCUCCAUGGUUAAUUCCUGAAUUUUCUUGUCCUUUUCACUCAUUGUUUGACGAGCUUCACGUGGAGCCACUACAAGAGGAUGAUUAUGCUCCUUGACAAAUUUUGUUAUGAUCCACUUUCCAGACUUAUCAAACUUAACAUGAAUCAUUGCCUUACAACCUUCUCUUGUACUAGUACGUG
rnacentral:misc_RNA from 1 species